rnacentral:rRNA from 1 species
CGAAACCUUUUGAGCUAUUAUUUUUAAGACUGUUAGGUUAAUAUCUAUAAUGUGGUAUAAUUGUAUAGAAAUAAAAAGUAAUAGAGGUGAUAAGUUUAUCGGAAAAGGUGAUAGCUAAUUUCAAGAGAAAUGUAUUUUAGUACAGGAAUAUUAAAAUUAAUGGUAUAUCUGGUAAUAAUAAAGAUAAGUUUGUUGUUAUAUUAAAUUAAAGAUUUAUUAUAAAAUUGCAUUAAUUUAGGUGUGAAAGUAACUGAGUUUGAUGAAUUUAUAUUGAAGAUGCAGGAUUUUUUUUAUAUAUGAAGAAAUUUUUAUUUGUUUUAUUUUGAAAAAUUAAAAAAUAAAGUUUUUAAUUGUUUUUAUGGUGUAAUUAGUAAAUAAUGCAAUUUUAUUAAAAUUAAUAAUAAUUAAAUAUUAAAAGAAAAUUUUUUGAGAAAAUAAUUAAUAUUAGGAACUCGGCAAAGAGCUUCUCCGACUGGUUAUCAAAACCAUAGUCUCUUGUUAUAUAUGAGAGAUGUUUUCUGCCCGGUGAGUAUUUAAACGGCCGCAGUUUUACUGUGCUAAGGUAGCAUAAUCAUUUGCCUUUUAAUUGGAGGCUGGUAUGAAUGGAAUAACGUGAGAUCAACUUUCUUAUAUUAAUAAAUUUGAAUUUUUAUUUUAGGUGAAGAUACCUAAAUAAAGUUGUUAGACGAGAAGACCCUGUUGAUCUUUAUUGAUUUUAUAAUUUUGGGUUUGAUAAAAAAAUAAUAUUGUAAAAUUAAGUUGAUUGGGGCGAUCGAGGAUAGAUAAUAUCAUCAUCCUUUUUAAAAAAGAAUGAUAGUUUUUUUAAAUGAUCCAUUUUUUAUGAUUAAAAGAUUAAGUUACCACAGGGAUAACAGAGUAAUAUAUUUUGAGAGUUCAAAUCGAUAAAUAUGUUUGCUACCUCGAUGUUGGAUUAGGGUUAUCAAGAGGUGUAGAAGUUUCUUAGGUUAGUCUGUUCGACUAUUAAACCCCUACAUGAUCUGAGUUCAGACCGGCGUGAGCCAGGUCAGUUUCUAUCUACAAUGUGUGAAAUAUUAUUUUUUAGUACGAAAGGAAUUAAAAUA